AGGCACACAUUGUCUCGGCUAUAAAUUAAGCUUGCAAGAUGUUGCAUGCAUCAGGGCCUUAACACUCAAAUUACAUUAUUUUUUUGAGUAUCUUUGCAUCCCUCGACUACUUGUGUGGAAGCUAUUGAAACAAUCAUGAAGAAGUCUGAUAGCUUCUAUGGUUAUUCUUUGAUUUUGGCUUUCUUUAUGUUAUUCCUUGCUGCAAGGUCUCAACUGAUUACAGAUUUUUAUAAGACCUCAUGUCCAAAUAUCAUGGCUAUUGUGAGGAGAGAGGUUCAAAAUGCUAUCAAGAUUGAAAUGCGAAUGGCUGCCUCUUUGCUUCGGCUUCACUUCCAUGACUGCUUUGUGAAUGGUUGUGAUGCAUCAAUACUAUUGGAUGUAAGCGAUGGUGAGAAGUUUGCCGGUCCCAACUUAAAUUCAGUUAGAGGAUUCGAUGUUGUAGAUAAUAUCAAAACCUCCGUGGAGAGUGCAUGUCCUGGUGUUGUAUCAUGUGCUGAUAUAGUAGCCAUAGCUGCAAGAGAUUCAGUGCUCUUAAGUGGAGGACCAACAUGGAAGGUUCUGUUGGGCAGAAGAGAUGCGCUAGUGGCAAAUCAAUCGGGAGCAAAUACUGGGCUUCCUUCUCCAUUUGACAACCUGGGUAAUAUCAUUCUUAAGUUUGCAAAUGUAGGCCUCAAUCUCAAAGAUGUGGUGUCCUUAUCAGGAGGUCAUACAAUUGGACUAUCUAGGUGUCUUCUCUUCAGCAAUAGGUUGUUCAGCUUCACCGGAACAGGCACUCCAGACAGUACUUUGGAUACAAAUAUGUUGUCCGAUUUGCAAAAGAUAUGCCCAGUGAAUGGUGAUGCAAACAAGACAACAUUCCUGGAUCGAAACUCAAAUGAUUUGUUUGACAAUCACUACUUUCAGAACUUGCUCAAUGGAAAGGGUCUUCUUAGUUCUGACCAAAUUUUAUUCUCUAGUGAUGAGGCCAAAACGACAACCCAAAGUUUGGUCCAAAGUUACAGCACUAACUCUGAUCUUUUCUUUGCGGACUUUGCUAAUUCCAUGAUCAAGAUGGGGAAUAUAAGUCCACUUACUGGGUCUAGUGGACAGAUCAGAAAGAACUGUAGGGUUGUGAACUCAUAAAUUGUGCUGAAGAUAACAAGGAUUGGAUGGGAAAAAAAAGAUUUGUACUAAAGUCUGCUACUCGUUGUAUGGUCAGCGUAGUCAUGUAUCAUAGUGACAUAUUUUAAGUCUCUAUAGUGUGGUUUUAUUGCUGGCUUUUUUCUAACUGGUUCUCCAGAAUCCUGUAGCCAAUGAUUUUCCAUUUGAUAACCGCAUAGAGAAAUUGUGAAA